UUUCCCACCUCGGUCCCUUGGAGCACUUGCUCUGGGAGAAGCUGGUCCCUAUGUUGUAGAUACUAGGAAGAGCUAGUGGAGAGGCCCACCUGGAGAUGAACUGAGGAAUCCACACAAUGUCAGCAGCAACUGGCCAACCACACUCUGGGAAAAGCUGGCAGCCUCUCUCUCAGGAGGUGAACAAGGAUAUAUUAUUUAUCACGGGAGUAAGACAAACGUGGAAUACCAAUGUGACGCUCACACAACUUCUUUCAUGGGACAAAUGGAAAUAUCUAUUGAUUUAGCCAUUGUCCACAAGACUCCAAGAAGCCAGACGAAUAUGCAGGUGUGGACUCCAGGCCCAGUUUCAACUCCACCGUUGUGGCAAAGGCUUGUCCAUCACAGAGCAGAGACCUGGACCCAGGAGUACCCACGUUGGAUGAAGAACUGAUUUUCUAUUAGGACUAUAACCUUUCAUUGAAGA